AGACAGAGAGAUACUUUAUGUCACAGUCUGCUCCAUCAUUCACCAGUAGUUUUCCAUUCACCUGUCUCACCUGUUAACCACACCUACGUUUUUGCUCACUCUCUUUCUCUACUGCACCCAUUAGCUUUACUGCCAGUAUUUAAACCCUCACCAGACACACACCCGUUGCCAGAUUGUACUUUGCCUUCAUGCUAGUCUUUCACGCGUUUGUUACCAGAUUGCCUACCCGGUUCCGACCCUGCCUGUCCCCGACCUGCCUGCUCUGCCUGAUCCCUGAUCCUGCCUGUCCUUGGACUAUCCUGCCUUGCCUGCUGUCUGACCCUGCCUGUACCUACGCUGACCGCCUCGCCUGCUCCCUGACCCUCUGCCCGGCCCUGACUCACCUUCUGCCCGCUGUCCUCUGGUUUGUUUGCCUGUACAUCAUCCGGUAUCCCUCUGCUCUGGUAUUAUUA